GGAAGGAUCAUUACAGAAUUGUCAACGGGUUGUUGCUGGUCCUCGAACGGGGACAUGUGCACGCUCUGUUUACACAUCCACUCACACCUGUGCACCCUCUGUAGUUCUGUGGUCUGGGGGACCCUGUCUUCCUGCCGUGGUUCUACGUCUUUACACACACACUGUAAUAAAGUCUUAUGGAAUGUAUGCCGCGUCUAACGCAAUACAAUACAACUUUCAGCAACGGAUCUCUUGGCUCUCGCAUCGAUGAAGAACGCAGCGAAAUGCGAUAAGUAAUGUGAAUUGCAGAAUUCAGUGAAUCAUCGAAUCUUUGAACGCACCUUGCGCCCCUUGGCUAUUCUGAGGGGCAUGCCUGUUUGAGUAUCAUGAACACCUCAACUCUCAUGGUUCGCCGUGAUGAGCUUGGACUCUGGGGGUUUUGCUGGCCUGCGGUCGGCUCCCCUCAAAUAAAUCAGCCUCCCAGUGUUUGGUGGCAUCACGGGUGUGAUAAAUAUCUACGCUCGCAGUUGUCUGCCAGGUAACCUUUGGUGACAAAGGUUCGCUGGAGCUCACAGAUGUCUCUCCUCAGCGAGGACAGCUUUUUGAACGUUCGAUCUCAAAUCAGGUAGGACUACCCGCUGAACUUAAGCAUAUCAAUAAGCGGAGGAAAAGAAACUAACAAGGAUUCCCCUAGUAACUGCGAGUGAAGCGGGAAGAGCUCAAAUUUAAAAUCUGGCGUG
rnacentral:sRNA from 1 species